rnacentral:rRNA from 1 species
AUACGAAUGGGGCAAACGUUGUUCGGAAUCACUGGGCAUAAAGGGCGCGUAGGCGGGGAUGAAAGUCAGAUGUGAAAGCCCGGGGCUUAACCUCGGAACAGCAUUUGAAACUCUAUCUCUUGAGGGUAGGCGGGGAAAACGGAAUUCCACAUGUAGCGGUGAAAUGCGUAGAUAUGUGGAGGAACAUCUGUGGCGAAGGCGGUUUUCUAGCUUAUUCCUGACGCUAAGGCGCGAAAGCAAGGGGAGCAAACAGGAUUAGAAACCCCGGUAGUCC